AUAUAGGGCCCAGGAUUUGGUGCUACGCCCCUGCAUGUUGCUAUAAAAGCACCGACUGAUGAUGAAUAUGCUUACGUGAAUCGGAAGCAAUACCACUCAGUUAAUGUGCAAAUUAUCUGUGAUGCAGACAUGACAUUAUUAAGUGUCGUGGCUCGCUAGCCAGGCUCAACCCAUGACUCAUUUAUGUUGAGACAAAGUAGUGUAGGAAGAAGGCUCCAGGCUGGCGCCGUGCAGGAUUGGUGGCUACUGGGAAAUAGUGGGUAUCCCCUGACGAUCUGGCUCCUCACUCCUUUCCCGGCCAACAAACUGAAGCUCAGCAUAGUUAUAAUGCUGUUAAUGUGCGCGGUCGGGUGGUGGUUGAGUACGCCGUUGGGAAUUUGAAAUCCCGAUGAAGGUGCCUUGACAAGUCCGGAGGAAUACUUUUAUAUAAACCUGAAAAGGUUUUGCCAUAUUAUCAGGGCAUGUGCCAUUUUUGCACAACAUGACACAGAGGAACAGAAUUCCUGCACCUGCUCCCGUAUUGCUGCCAGACGAGAUGGACACGCACGCGGCGAAUGAGGACCACGCUCUUAGAGCGGUUGUAUUGCGCGAACACGUGAUGCAGCGUUUGUGGACAGCACGGCAUUAGAAAGGGCACGGGCCGAGGUCACGGGGCCGCGAGAUGGAGUGGAGCGGUCGCUGGAGCCAAAGACGCGGGGACGUCAAUGAGGCCUGGCGCAGUGGCAGUGGAUCCACUGGAGCCUGGCAAAUAAGGGGAGACGACGCUGGUGCAUGGAAGGACGCUGGCAUUCCACAUUUCUUGUGGAACAUCUCGCUUCCAUCAAAAACUAUUGGUAAAAAAUAAAGCCAAUAGUUUAUUGUUUAUUUGUUUGUUCAUAGCUU
ensembl:lncRNA